UACGUAGGGUGCAAGCGUUGUCCGGAAUUAUUGGGCGUAAAGAGCUCGUAGGUGGUUUGUUGCGUCGGCUGUGAAAUCCCGAGGCUCAACCUCGGGUCUGCAGUCGAUACGAGCAAACUAGAGUGUUGCAGGGGAGACUGGAAUUCCUGGUGUAGCGGUGAAAUGCGUAGAUAUCGGAAGGAACAUCAGUGGCGAAAGCGGCUUUCUGGACCAGUACCGACGUUCAGGCACGAAAGCGUGGGGAGCAAACAGG
rnacentral:rRNA from 1 species